AGAGGGCAUAUUUUUCGGGUCCAGUGUAAGAAAUGAAGUUCCCGUGAACGGUGUGCAUGAGGAGAAUUGAAGUUCACUUGAACCGUAUUCAUGAGCAUAAAUAAAAUACUGAAACGAACAUGACCAAGUGUUCUUUAAGCUUAGAUGGCGUUAUGGCUUCUGAAGAACAAUAGUUACUUCCAUACAUAUGCAGUGGGGAGAAGAAGAGACAGAUGGAGUGAAGAAAGCCAAUAGCCAUCAUUCAAAUGGACCUUGUAAGAGUACUGGAAACUUGCAGUGCCGGAAGAGUGUGAUUCGAAGUGUGCUCAAGUCAGCAGUUGAGAGAGCUUCAGUAUCCCAAGUGUGGUAUCUUGUGCUGCAGUGUCGAGCAAUGUUCCUCCGUUCUGAUUUCGUGUUUUUUAAUUUAUUUUUUGUUUUGUUUUGUUUUGUUUCCUAUUCCGAACCAGAUUGGAACAGACUUAGAGUGCUCUUGUACUUGUAAUCUUCUGAUUCAAUUAGUGAAAAAUCCUAGCAACCUCGUGGACGUAGCUCAAUUAUGAGUGAACCACGUAAAAUUGUGGUGUUGGAUUUGUGUGUGAAUGUUUGUUUCU